AGUGAACGCUGGCGGUAGGCCUAACACAUGCAAGUCGAACGAGUGGAGGACGGGUGAGGAAUACAACGGAAUCUACUCUGCAGAGGGGGAUAACGUAGGGAAACUUACGCUAAUACCGCAUACGAAUGAAUGAGCCGAUGUCGGAUGAGCUAGUUGGCGGGGUAAAGGCCCACCAAGGCGACGAUCAGUAGCUGGUCUGAGAGGAUGAUCAGCCACCCUGGAACUGGAACACGGUCCAGACUCCUACGGGAGGCAGCAGUGGGGAAUAUUGGACAAUGGGCGCAAGCCAGAUCCAGCCAUACCGCGUGGGGGAAGAAGGCCUUCGGGUUGGAAAGCCCUUUUGUUGGGAAAGCGGUACCCAAAGAAUAAGCACCGGCUAACUUCGUGCCAGCCGCCGCGGUAAUAC
rnacentral:rRNA from 1 species